rnacentral:rRNA from 1 species
UACGUAGGGUGCGAGCGUUGUCCGGAAUUAUUGGGCGUAAAGGGCUCGUAGGCGGUCUGUCACGUCGGGAGUGAAAACUCAGGGCUUAACCCUGAGCCUGCUUCCGAUACGGGCAGACUAGAGGUAUGCAGGGGAGAAUGGAAUUCCUGGUGUAGCGGUGAAAUGCGCAGAUAUCAGGAGGAACACCAGUGGCGAAGGCGGUUCUCUGGGCAUUAACUGACGCUGAGGAGCGAAAGCAUGGGGAGCGAACAGG